rnacentral:rRNA from 1 species
GAUGAACGCUGGCGGCGUGCCUAAUACAUGCAAGUCGAGCGAACGGACGAGAAGCUUGCUUCUCUGAUGUUAGCGGCGGACGGGUGAGUAACACGUGGAUAACCUACCUAUAAGACUGGGAUAACUUCGGGAAACCGGAGCUAAUACCGGAUAAUAUUUUGAAACGCAUGGUUCAAAAUUGAAAGACGGUCUUGCUGUCACUUAUCGAUUGAUUCGCUCUGCAUUAUCUAGUUGGUAAGGUAACGGCUUAUCAAGGCAACGAUGCAUAGCCGACCUGAUAGGGUGAUCGGCCACACUGGAACUGAGACACGGUCCAGACUCCUACGGGAGGCAGCAGUAGGGAAUCUUCCGCAAUGGGCGAAAGCCUGACGGAGCAACGCCGCGUGAGUUAUGAAGGUCUUCGGAUCGUAAAACUCUGUUAUGAGGGAAGAACAUAUGUGUAAGUAACUGUGCACAUCUUGACGUUACCUAAUCAGAAAGCCACGGCUAACUACGUG